CAUUGUGCAAUCACAGCACCGUUCAGACAACUCGAGCUGCGAUUAUUUUUUUAAUCAUUUUUAUUCUAGCAGGGAUAUCAGCACGAAAACACGCAGAUCAAUGGGUCCUCCAGGCCUGGGUGGCUAGCUGCUCCCCCUCCCACCACAAAGCAAACGGAUGGAAAGGAAGGUGGAAAACAAAAAGGAAAAAGGUUCAGCACCUGCCCAAGGCCCAGGGAGAUGCUUUGGGUCAGCUGCCUUCAGUUGGUCUUCAUCACCAUCAUUAAUACACGUUUCCUCACUGGAAUGAACGUUUGGAUGAUGCUAAAUCCUCCGGCACAUCCCCUAAUGCCAAGACAAGUGUCUUCUUGAAGUUCCAAAUGUUACAAGUGAAUGCAAAGUCAGUCAGAGCAAGUAUCUUCCUCCUAUGUUGAGUUUUCCAUCUCUCCCCCUGUCCCAGCAGCUGCAAGUUCUGACACAGCUGAUCAUGUACAUACUGUCACCUCCCACCUCAUCCUCCCAAUCCAAAACCAGGAAGAACUAUGUCAGCAACAUGCCAGCUAUGGAAGGUACAACUUUGGUUCUGAAGUAUGUCAGAGGUAAAUCAGUCUGCAACUUGGAUGAAGUGCUAUCUGGUGUAGUGUUACUACCUACCAGCACACUGAGGAAGUUUCAGAGCUCCCACAGACUCUAAAAUGGGACUCAAGUCAUCCCAAACAGUGUGUAAUGCAAGUGCAACCAUCCAAAUGCCCAAGGAACACAAGAUUCUCUCCCACAGAUUUCUAAUGGAGAAGUUUGGAAUUGGCACAGGUCAGGAACAGCAGCCUGAGUUCUGUCACAUCCCUGUACCCUUUGCUAACUGGGAAAGUGACAUGUAAAAGCUUCCACUUGCAACUCGUAAAACAAGCAAUUUUCAGAUACUCAAAACUGAGACUUUCUAGUGCGUACAACAGAUUCAGCCAGUCUAUGCUGAAUUAAAAAUCCUUCUGUACACUGAAGUAUUAGUCUCCAAAUUGAUCCCUGUUUACUCCACUUGCACAGUACGUUAAACACGCUGCCAUUACAUUAAUUUUCCGUAAUCACUUAUAACAUUUGAAAAUUCAACACCUGCAACUUUUUGAACAAAGUAGGUCUUUCAGUACCCACCCAAUUGCAGGAUACACACAUUCACUGAGUAAUGAAAGCCAUAAGUGUCAAAAUUUAAACCACACACAUUCAAAAUAUUGAUCAACCACCUUAGUGUAUAUACAAGCAGGAUGACUACAUGUUCAAUAAACACUACAGUCAAGUACAUUCUUCAUGAACACUGCAC